AUACAAUCAUAUCUGCAACUGCCAGCAAAUAUAUACGCAACCAAAAAUGCAAUUUUGAAAUUUUUUUUGAAAAUUACAUUUAGUUGUAUAAUAAGUUACAACUGGUUGCAAAUGAAAAAAAUGAAAACCCCUCCGGGUCUAUACUAAUAUCAACAUUGAAACCUAAAAAGUAAAUAAAAUAACAAACUAGAAAUCAACUCAAAAGCAACCAACCAAAAGCAAAUCUAAAAAUCAAAUUUAAAGAAUCUCUACUACAACAUGAAAUGGCUCAACAUCAACAUUCUCUUCUCGUCAUUCUUGUUGUCGCCAUGCUUCAUCCUGUCCGCCGGCUAGCGAUACAAUCGCGGCCGCUCUUCGCCGGUGAUGAAGCUCCGAUCCCCAUUAUCGACGAACUCCUUCGUUUUAUUCAAGUCAGCAACAUUUGUCUCUUAUGAUGUUAUCUCAGUUUUUCUUGUUUUGAUUGUGUAAAUUUAUAUUUGUUUUUAAAAAGAUAAAGAGAGUAAGAGGAGGAGAGAUUGAAAAUCAGAGAAAAGAAAAGGGGGCAGGAGAGAACACGAGACAGAACGAAGAAGAGAGCAAUGAGCGAGAGAAACGAGAGCAAUGAGAUGGAAAUAGAGUAGAGAGAGAGAAAAAGGGAUACAUAGAGAGGAAGGGAAAAGAGAGA
rnacentral:lncRNA from 1 species